rnacentral:rRNA from 1 species
UACGUAGGGGGGCUAGCGUUGUCCGGAAUCAUUGGGCGUAAAGCGCGUGUAGGCGGCCAGAUAAGUCCGCUGUGAAAUCUCGAGGCUCAACUUCGAGCUGUCGGUGGAAACUGUCUGGCUAGAGUCCGGAAGAGGAGAAUGGAAUUCCUGGUGUAGCGGUGAAAUGCGCAGAUAUCAGGAAGAACGACCCGUGGCGAAGGCGGUCUCUGGGACGGUACUGACGCUGAGACGCGAAAGCGUGGGGAGCGAACAGG